UACAGAGGGUGCAAGCGUUGUUCGGAAUUAUUGGGCGUAAAGGGCGCGUAGGCGGUUCGGCAAGUCUCUAGUGAAAUCUCUCGGCUCAACUGAGAGUCUGCUGGGGAAACUGCCGGGCUUGAGUGUGGGAGAGGAGAGUGGAAUUCCUGGUGUAGCGGUGAAAUGCGUAGAUAUCAGGAGGAACACCUGAGGCGAAAGCGGCUCUCUGGACCACAACUGACGCUGAGGCGCGAAAGCUAGGGGAGCAAACAGG
rnacentral:rRNA from 1 species